rnacentral:rRNA from 1 species
UAAACGAUGAUUACUCGUUUUUGGGUUUUAGGAUUCAGAGACUAAGCGAAAGUGAUAAGUAAUCCACCUGGGGAGUACGUUCGCAAGAAUGAAACUCAAAGGAAUUGACGGGGGCCCGCACAAGCGGUGGAGCAUGUGGUUUAAUUCGAUGAUACGCGAGGAACCUUACCAAGACUUAAAUGGGAAAUGACAGAUUUAGAAAUAGAUCCUUCUUCGGACAUUUUUCAAGGUGCUGCAUGGCUGUCGUCAG